UUCAAGUUUACUAAUGGUAAGACACUUGAUUCCAUCUAUUAUUUAACAGUGAAAUUAUGGCAAUAUUUAUAAUACCUGAUAUUUUCCAGGACUUUACAAUGGCAGUUAAGAGUUAAGAAUCAUGUUGCUAAAGAUUGUGUGGUACAGUGUAUGUUCUAACUAUAAAGUUCAAAGGUCAGUAGCACAGAAGUCAUCGACAGUCGUGUACGUCAGACACGUUACGUCACUUCGAAUCGACGUUCUGCUAUUGUCACGCGUAUAUCUGCGCAUUCACGAGCAAUUACCCGGGGUGGGGUAAUCCCGUUAGGCGACGUACAGCUUCUACGGGGGAGGAUCAAAGGACUCGCUAUUCCAAGCUGCUGCACUCUUUGGUUGUUCCAGUCGUCGCUACAAUGCUACUGGGGCUUGCAAGAAGGGGAAUCAUCCACGUCUACGUCGUUCUUCGACUUUGUUGGAACUUUGGGCAACUUCCUAAUGCACACUUCUGUUCAACCAGCGUCGCUACGCAGCUUCGUACAAUUAUCGUUACUAUUCCGUUUCCGUACCUUUCCCAUAUUUUUAGCCCUUUAUAUCUGAAUUUCCGGAUUCGUUUUUCUGCCACAAGGGUUACCAAAUCCUCUUGAUAUUGUUUUUGCAUCGUUGUUGGAAUGUUUUGAAUCGAGGUAGAUUUGCAUAAUACAUUUUGAAUUUCUAUGGAAUUAGAAAAUGGGUGGGCUUUUAGAUCUUUAUGAUGUGGCGAAGAUUAAAAUGGUAAAGAAUUCUUACUGGAACUGGACCUAUCAGAGAUAUUUUGGAUAUUUUGUUCUCACGAUUAGUAAAAAUAUUCAGGUAUCUACCAUUAUCAAGACCAACGCUAAUAUUUUAAUAAGUGCUGAAACUUGAAAGGAAACAUUUAUAUCGGAAAUUAACUUGGAUUCAGAAACUGACGCGGCACACGCUAAAUCUUCUGUACUUAUACGGUUAGCAGAGAACGUGGCAGCGCGGUAGAAAAAUUCUGCAAAGCGACACGAGACGGCAAUCGCUUAAUUGUGAUUAAUUGCGGUUUUACCAGGAAAAGAUCGCGUUGUAACGCGCGGCCCGAUUAGCCGGCGCGAGUCGCUCAAGCGAUUCGCUUGCUCGCGCAACAUUAAAGAGCCAGUUGCGUGCGAUGGUUGUUUCCUUACUUUCACGCAUCGUAUCGAAACUAUAGCCCUCUUGAUUUCUCAGCCAUUCUACUCGAUCGUGCAUGCUGAUCCUUUUUCACGAUAACGGUUAAGACCAUCCUCUUUCUACCUCUGGCUGGCCGCCGCAAAUAACUUUAUUGCGGCAAUUAAAAUUAUCGCUGUCCCGAUUAAAUCAUCUGUUUUCCAGAUUAACACACGCACAAAUGUGCUGUCUCUUUUGGAGUUUACUCUUUUGGAGAAGAUCCAAUAUUCUGUACAAAUAUUUUCUUUAGGUUUUUGAUGCUUCCUAAUACUAUUUACCUUACAAGUUUUUGCUAGGAACCAGAUUAGUUCUUUAGAAGGCUCUGUAAUUAUAUCAUUCUUAAUGUUAAUGUCAAAGGAAAAUGUCCCAUGAACCGCAAUAUAAUUUGCCUGCAUCACGUUCAAGAUGAAUACUAUAUAUAAGCUUACGGUACGAUGGAAGGAGGAAAGUUUCGAUGCCUAUUGCUGCGACAUCCGGUUUCCGGGCAAGUGAAAUGGCGAAUGGAAUAAUUUAAUAUAGGGGCGAUACAAGGGCCAAAGCGAUCGGUCUAAUCGUGUCUGAACGAGGUUAAAACACCGGCACCCGCCGCUCUUAUUUACGUCCGACAAUAAGUCAAUUCAUCACUCUGCGAUUUGGCCUUAAGUGGUAUCACUGACUCAUACACACAGCCGUCUGGAGCGGUGUGCCUAUUUCGGGCAUAAAUCACUGUUGCCCGUGCGGUGCGUAAUAAUGAACAAGCGAGCGUAGCACGCGACCCUUUAAACGUGCUGGCUGGAAAACGAGUGGCUCGUAAGGUAGCAGGGAUUAGCUUUGGUCCCUAUGUGUCCCUGCUUAAUCCUGAAAAUGUUACGGGCCGCGAAAUUCUUCGCCCGUAUCAGGUCACGUAAAAAUGCAAUUUUACGAGUACGUAGGUUUACAAACUAGGGGCCAGACUAUGCAGAUAACAAUGAAGAUAAAGAAAUGGAUUUUUAUUGCUUGAUAAAUUGGUAAAGCUAACGUACAAUCAGUUUAGAUAUUUUAGAAGUAUCGCGAUCGAAGGAAUAUUUUUAUAACGGUAACUGUAGAAUUUGAAUUGCCAGGGCAAAAUUGUUUCUAGUAAACGCAUGCAGUCGGUGAUGCAAUUGCGCUCAUGCGAAGCGCGUUUGCUCAGACAAAUAGAAGAUACCAGGGAAGAUACCACUUUUAUCGUAGUACCGUGCAAUUAUUUACGUUUAAGCUUUAAUUCGUGUUAAGUUGUUGGUAAGCAAGUAACAAAUAAAUAAUUAAUCAGCGAAGAACUUGAUUAAUAAUUAGUUCUGUAUGUUAAGAGGCACCAUAGGCAGUUAAUGAAGGGUAGAAUACUCUGGCAAUAUAAAAAUACACCGAAGAAACGUCUAUUACGUCUGUUACACCAGCUGAUGAUUAACAUAGAAUGUCUAUGACUUUUCUAUCUAGUCGUCGUCCACGUAAGACCCAAAGUCCUUUACCGAAGGUACGAAGUAUAAAAACUAUAUUGCAGUGGCAAUGUCAGGAGUCGCGACAUUUUAGCCGAAUGGCAGCGGGAGACGCGGAUAAACCAGGAAGUACGGGGAACCGACCGGAUCCGGCGAAGUUCUGGCACGGAUUUCGUUCACAGGCUCGUGGCCCACGGCCACGAAAACCCGGGAGACAUGGAUCGUGGGCAACAAGUCACCGGGAAACGGCGCGUGACCGCCACAUUCACGCUGCCAGAUUUACGACAAUAAAAAUGGGCGCCGCCGAAUGGAGGAUCGUCCUUUCGCCGGCCUGUAUCGAGGAAUCGAUUCGCUUUAUCGGGCAACAAUUACGACACCGCAACGGCAAUCACCAUGUUUCAAAGGAUGACUUCGAUGUAGAAACGAUUAUCUUGAUCAGAGUAAUUAGCAGAUUGCUUGGGCUCAGAAACCUCGUGUCACAUUUGGAUUCGAUACAUUGAUGGCCAAUGUGCUUGAAGAAGGGUUGCUGCAAGGAUACAAGGAUAUAAGAAUGGCUGGAUCGGCAUCGGUCGUGUCUCAGCCACAAUAUUAUUCUUCCAGCCGAUACAACGUUUGGAUGGAAUGGGAAUGACGAAAGAAACAUUUUGCAAAUUGGACAAUUUUAACGAAGUACUUUACAUCAGUAUCUAUGUAUCAGUGGAUUCUUGAGGAUGCCGGCUAAAAUACUUGCGAGACGUUGGAUUAUUUCUUUGCAGAAGAUACAUCUGUCAUUAGGCUUGAACUGCGAUGUUUUAGAAGCUUUUAUCCGCCCAGGAACAGCUUAUAUUCACAAAAGUACUUUGGAUUCCCAGAGUCUACCCUGCAACAUUCUGUGACCUUUCAUCCAUCCAAGAGGAGUCUACAUCCGCAAAAAGCAGGCGAUCAUCAUUCUUCAAGCACCUUCUCAUAUCUGGUUUCCCAAGUUUCACCAUGUUCGUCUUCCAUGAUAAUGCUACAACUACCAAUGAAAAAACCAUGAAACACGCAAAUCUAUGAAAUUUCAAUGAAAAAUUACAAACUGGUAGUUCUAGUAUCGAAACGUUCUACGCAACAAACCAAUCUACCAACCCUCCCACCCAACUACCUUCCACAAAGGACUAACUCUUCCAGGCGAAUCAACGCAUGGACAAACGUUACAACCAUAAACAUCCAAACGAAGUCUCACCGUUGUUUGCUUACCUUUCACCUCCCUCUACUCUUUCAACCAGAGGCCUGAUUUCAAUUCACCGUUGAAUCACGGUAACCUGACGUUCGAUUGCACUUUUUCAAACGCCCAUUACCCCGGAGAUCCGGCGUGGAGGGUGGCCAGGUCGUUACCUAUGGGUGUCGAGGUGGUAUGAUAGUCACGGCAUACGUGAUCAGGCGCGUGAGCGAACUGCCAAGGCACGCGUCGCCGUGCCGGAGUACGUAAUUAUCAUAGGGAAGUUAGGGUUGCCUUCGGAUACACAUACACGUAUACACAUGUGUAAAUACAUAUGUAUACGUAUGUGUGCACAGAUGUAGGAAUAUAUGUACACGUGGGAGAGAGGUCGAGGGUUGGUCGACUUGGGUCAGCAAGUCACGCGAGGCACGCUCGUGGCGGACGUGGAAACAGGGAGGAGUACUUUUAUUGUUCUACCAGUUGUCUUAGAGUCGCUUUUCCUGGCCACUGGGCAGACUGGUUGAGAACGGAGGUCGAUAUCUAUGCCUGGACGAACCUUUUACCCUCGUGCAUGCCUGUUCCUUUCGUGGAACAUGUCUGACCUUUCGUGUGACUUCUCGAUCGCCAAUUUUUUGAGUACUUUCAAACUGCCGUACAGAUGUGGAGAACUGCAUGAACGUUUCGGAUCGAAGAUCGAAGCGGAAGAUUUUUGAUUUUGAAGAUAACGCGGAGAAUUUCUUUCUGGAAAAUUUGUCAUGUGCUAUAGAUAUGAUUUAAAAGUCAAUUAUUCUUGUCGUUGAAUCGUAGUAGAAAUUAGUAAGACGAUAAUGAUCGAUAAUAAUAAGAUUCUAAAUCUAAAGUGGAUUUCCUUUUGUAGGGAAUUUUUGUGCGGUGUCGAAGAAUAAGCGUAAAAGGUAAAUGUUGGAGCUGAUAAUAUUGCAGAGCAACACGAAUAUUCGCCUAUGGUUACGCAACAGAGUCGCCAGUUUCUUCUGAAGAAAUCGCGUGAACAAAAUGCGCCGUGGAGCUUCCUUCCAUCGAUAAGAAGUAUACAAGCGUAAUCCACCAUAAGUUUCGGCGAACACGCGAUCAACGUUAAUGACUCUGCUCGAAUUACCACGGGGAACAUAUAUAAGUAUCUGGAAUAUUCGUUUAUGGCCUAGUGAACCUAUCGUUGGAUAAUUUAUCACUAGACAGCGGAUUUCUGACGCAUUUGUACGAAAUUUAAAUAUGCAAAAAUGCACAGAACGCAUAUAAUAUAUAGAGAUACAUAUGUAAAAUAUUUAAAGUAGAGCAUUUGUUUUAAUGUUCAAAAGUCUAUUCAUCACCAUCCACGACCUCGAAGAAAUGGAGAGAGUAUCGAAGAAGAUAUCGUCAUAUCGUUGGAAACGCAUUCUAAAUUAUUUUCGAGAGAAAGGAAUAUUAUUAGAAGAAGAGCAAAUUAAUUUGGCCUGUGAGAGGUGUGCGGACGAAAGGGUAGCUUGUAAUUUCAAUUUGACGCGAGAGCCACAAAGUGGCCCGGGGCCAACACGCGUCGUCGCGUAAUUUCAUGAGGUUCCUGCUGACGAUGGUUUCGUUCCCUUUCGCGUUGCCCCGUGAUGUGUAAACCGAGUCAAAGGAAGUUGGCUACGAUCAGAACGAUGUUGACGAUUUGCGAGCUUGCUGGAGACGUUGAUGCGUGAAAUGAUAAAAGGCGAGGUGUAGAGAUUGAGUAAGCUAGGAUUUUGUAGUGUAAUAACAGGAGGUGCUCGGUCACCGGUUUGAGAGAAAUUUUGGCUAACUCAGAGUUUGCUAGCUUUUACAAUAAACAAUGAAUGUUAUAAGACUUCUGGAAUUUUAAUUUCUCUUGUGUUUCCAGUUGAAAGCUGAGGAAUGCGUUGAUUUAUUACUAACGUGUUUGAUAAAAUUAGUGAUAAGUAGUUGUAAUUGAUUUUUGUAUCAAUUUGUCAUACAUUUUUCUACUUUACUUUAUUUUUUAAUGAUAAUAUCACUCGUUCCAUUUUCAGGUAUCAAGAUACAUUUGAAGUUUAUUUGGUGGAAGUUUCUAUCUAUACUUUUUCUAUUCAAAUCUGUAAGAUAUCAAUCAAACUGAAAACAACCAUAAUAAGAGAAAAGUAUUAAUUUGUGAUCACAGAGUCGUGUGCUUAAAGAAUUGAGAAGUUUUGAUUUGAAAAUGCUAUCGCUGCGUGUACGAUCCGCACGUGCGAACGAGACCAUCAAUUCCCUCUUUGACAACUGAUCCAUGGUGAUUGCAAUCUAACGAGGCGUCGAAACCACAAGCCGUUUACAUCAAACCACCCCAAGCUAAACCUCUGAACUCCACGAAAUGAUUGUGUCACUACGUAUUCCGUCGAACUGGCCAAUGUACCAAAUUAACGUGCAAUCUUUCUGAGGAAGCCAUUUCGACAAAUCGACGAACUACAAUUUCAAGAAACUUACACAGCAACAGGAACGUUCUAAGACCUAUGAACCUCAAGUCGAAACGAUUGUUCCUACUACGAACCACUCCAAACGUCCGAAAGAGCUGGCGACGUGGCGUGGCUCCAGCCUCCUUUGUACGAACUGCUGGCAUCUGUAACGUGAAGGAAAAAAGAAGCUCGCAUAAAUACGAAUCACAGAAUCUUCAAAAUAAAUCUUUCAAUACGCAGACGUCAUAAUUUCAAUGAAAAUAACAGUUUACAACACAAUGUUAAAAGAAAAGCAGCACAUCGAUCGAGCUAUAAAAUGCAACCCAGGCACGUGUUACAUUCGCUUCGCGAUCCCUCACGAGAGAUUACACAAUUUUCUUUUUCUCUGUUUUUUAGGUCAAGUUAUUAGAAGACGUAUACCGUCUGCAAUUGCAAGGUAAUCAGUUCUGUGAAUCGCUUGGUGGCCGUAAAGUAUAUCUGAUCGCAGGUUUCCAGCGAGUUUCGUUGAAAAACAAUUCCUUAAGAAAAUCUUUACGACCCCUUAACGAUACACCGCCUUCUUCCAAGUCCGUGUACCUUGGAAAAUACGAUCCACCGGCCUCGACGAUCGAUUAAAAUCACUUUUCGCGUGGCGAGAAGACGGUGCUUCCGAAGUUUGCGUUCCGAUCGUCGGAAAGAUCGAGGCUGAACAGUUUCUUCGAUUAUCGUUAGAAUGGCUCAAAAUUACCGAGUGACAUUUGUUAUAAUAUUCUGUCCAUUGCCAUCUUCUUACAUUUGUGGUCCAACGUCGCGUCAUACUGUGGCUGACUGCUCUAUGUAUUUUUCAACAGAUUAAAAUACCUUUCCUAAUUCUUAGAUAUCAAAUUUCCACAUUACAUUUAGUUUAUCGCGAUACUACGCAAACACCUAUAUGCGUUACAUAAAUGAAAUUUAUAUUUUUGCUAACAAAAUAUAUUUAUAUACUUAUAUAUUUGCUAUCAACAUGCAACACUAUUUUAAACAAAUACAAAUAAAAUAGAACAAUCACACUCUGAUGUGAUAUUGGGUGAUAUUGGACCAUAAAUACAAGAAGAUGAGCAGAAGAAUUUUGGUAAGAAAUGGUACUGAUUGUAUAAGAAUGAAUUUAUAAGAAUACCAUAUGGCGGUAUCCAAAUAUUAAUGCGAAUCACUGUACCGUUUUUUAUUAUAUUUUCCAAAUACUGAAAUACUGUACCUAUAUUCUAUAUAUGUAUACCUAUCUAAAAUCUGCUAUAUUUAUCCGAACACCUAUAUUUAUCUAAGAUAUUUAUGUUAACACUGCUGUCACGAUGGUGAUCGAAACGCGUGCACGGUAUUGGUUUCAGGGACGUCGCGAUCAUCCCUUAGGAACCUUCGGUCGAUUCUUCCGGCGGUGUUUCGAGCGCCGCCGGUCUGUUUGCAGACAGAUAUAUUUUCAUUUGGCAGUUAUUGGCACGAGGGUGGCUCCCAUGUGUAUACACACGCGGUACGGUACGUCAUGCUCGCAGAAAGUCCGUCUUUCUGUGCAAACAGAAGGCCUAGGUGUACGAAACGAGUCAACCUUUCGUCUUUACUGCCCCCUUCAUUUGAUCUGGAGACCAUGCUCCAUUAAUAGGGCCUCGGAUUUCACGUUCACGAAAACGUCAGGGACUAUUGAUGCGCUAAUGUACCGCUCCAGCCUGGGAAUCGUCUACUUUCUUCCAAUUACCUGCUCUCUUCUCUGGCUUUUCCAGUUACAUCUAUUCGCAUUAGAGGGGAGAGCUUCUCUUUUUUAAAGGAUCCUCGCCACCUUUUUAGAUAAAAUACUAGCAAAUUUCAUUAUAAAGUUAGCGAAGAGUAAAAGAAGGAGCCUCGAGCGGUUCAAGGAGGACUAGAAUCAGCUUGUCUUAUUCGCCACGAAGAACUUUAUCGUCCAGAGUCUGUGAAUCUCUUUAUUAAGAAACUGAAAGGUGUCUCUAAAUCAACCUCUUCAGCAUCAAACACGAAAGAGAGAACAGAGAGUACCGUUGGAAAAGUCAACUUAUUCUCUUUUGUUAUUUCGAUACAUUCACUUGUCGUGAGGUUCCAUGCACACCAUACAGCGUCAAACGAGAUCAUAGUGUCACGUGGUCGCACAUGGAUCAUCGCUGGAUUUAGAUCAUCGUUAUCGAUCCUUUUAUAUCUCGAUCUUGUUCUUACUUUUGCGAACGAAAAGAAUUUAUAACGUUUUAAAAAAGUGUUUAACGUAAAAUUGGAACAAGAAAUCUAUUAAUAAAUAUAUUUAUAAGACUUUCUUUUAGCGUUACUCAAACAAUCUCGCAAUAACGAAGUAUCGAUGACUAUGACAAAAGAAUCUCUGAACUAAAAAAAAGGAGCACGAUAGGAAGAAACGCUACAAUUUUAUAACAAACAAUAUUUGAUCGAAAUGAUGAAUAAACGUGAUAGGUAUGACUUUCAGAAUUGAAAAUACAAAAAUAUUCUAAAAAUGUCAGAAGAAGGAUCGAAUAGAUUUCUCGACCAGGUCGUAUCAGGUCAAUUAAUUUCAAACUAGAUUAAUAUUUCGAUCGAUCGUAAACUACAGUUGCUACACUGUUUACAGAAUCAGCUGCCAACGGAUCAACAUCACCAGAUUAAUGGAGCGCAUGGGGGCCCAAACCAAAGCCAGCGUCGCAUAAAAUAAAGAACCGCGCAAAGCUCAACGUGUUUCACAUACGCAAA